AUGAAGGCGGUGGAGGAGGCGAGGUCCGCGGCGGCGCCGCGGUGCCGGGUGGUGCGGAUCAUCGUGCACGACGAGGACGCCACCGACUCGUCUUCCAGCGACGACGAGGGAGAGGAGGCGGGGGAGCGCGCCGCGGCGCACCCGGCCGCGGCGCCGGCGGGGAGCGUGAAGCGCAGCCGCGUGCUGCUCCAGUCCGCUGGGUGCGGGGCGGAGGAGGACGGCGAGGGGGCCAGGUUCACGGGCGUGCGGCGGCGGCCGUGGGGCCGGUGGGCGGCGGAGAUUCGCGACCCGCUGCUCCGCCGCCGCGUCUGGCUCGGCACUUUCGACACCGCCGAGGAGGCCGCGGCGGCCUACGUCGCAGCGCGCCUCCGCAUCCGCGGGCCCAGCAACUCGCUCCCUCCGCCCGAGCACCGCCCGGCCUUGCCCCCACGUCCCCCGCCGCCACCUCAGCAGCGGGAGAAGAAGCUGCCGCUGCCGCCGCCGCCGCCGCCUCUCCUUCCGCUUCCGCCGAAGAAGCAGCAGUAUCCGCCACCGCCUCUGCUUCCGCCGAAGAAGCAGCUGUAUCCGCCACCGCUUCCCCUCCUCCCACCAAAGAAGCAGCAGCAGCAUCACCAUCACCCGUCACCGCCUCUGCCCACGCUUCCGCCGAAGAAGCGGCUGCCGUCGCCGCCUCUGCUGCGCGAAAGCAAGAAGCAGUGCGUCGCCUCCUCCCCAGCGGAGCCGCGUUUCAUGCCGCUGCCGGUGUGGGCGCUGAUGUCCGGCUCCGGGAAGCGCAAGAAGCGGUCGGGCUGUGGCGGGCGCGUCCCCGCCCUCCACACCCCCGCCGCCGAGGAGACGGGGCGCGCCUGAGAAGGCUGAGACGACUGGGACCUCCCUGCUUCUGGUAUCCAUCCCCUACCGCUUCUUGAUCAUGCCAUGCCAAUCUGAAUUGCCGCUCAA
rnacentral:misc_RNA from 1 species